UAGGCCUGGGUAACGGCGCAAAUUUUUUGGCGCUGAUACACUAACACCAGUGCCACUGCCGGAAUCAGAACAGUGUGUUGGCACUAUUGCGCCUCUUCAGGCAGCUUAACGCAGUGGUUUUCUCAGAGUUGCUUUGCCGAUUCAUACGACUGCAAGAAUGAUAGAAUACAAGGUGGUGUUACUAGAACAGCUGAUUGGAUAUUUUCCACAACUUUAUAUAGACGCGCCUUGACUGUAAUUUUGGCGGACAUUUACUGGCAAAUUGGCGCAUUUUCAUCUUGCUUACUCCUGGACAUUUUACAAGAGCUUAUUCGUCCAAGCGUCGCUGUGAGUUCCACGAGCGUUUCACUGCAUUUUCAUCUACUAAUCACUAAUUUUGCGUAUUCCUGCACAUUUUACAAGAGCUUAUUCGUCCAAGCGUCGCUGUGAGUUCCUCGAGCGUUUCACUGCAUUUUCAUCAUGCCAAAUAAAAAGAGCGAAAUAUGGCUGCACUUCUCCGAUGAGAAAGACAAACAAGUAAAGUGUAAGCUAUGUGGUCAGCAGAUAUCCGUGGCAAACAAAUCAACGACCAGCCUGAUUCGCCAUAUGAAUAGGCGGCAUCCCUUCCAAAAAAUUGCUAGGCAGGAGCAUUUGGAAACAGAAGUUGACACGCAGGCAGCAGCAACGCAGGUAGAAGCACCACAGAGAGCAGCAACGCAAGUAGAAUCACAACAGGCAGCAA